UUCCUGACACAACUGUCUCCAGUCUAUCAGGGCUUGUCCGGCUGGAUGUUUUUACCUAAUCUGCAUGUCUUAGGACUGUGGAGGAAACCAGAGCACCCAGAGGAAACCCACAUAGAAGAGAACAUGCAAACUCCACACAAAAAGGCCCCCAUCGGCUGUGUGGUUCGACCCGAGAACCUUCAUGCUGUGAGGCAACAGCGCUAACCACUACACCACCGUGCUGCCCCAAGUUGCUGAGCCUCGACCUGACCAACGGAAGCAACCCCAGAUCACAACACUGUCUCCAGAGGUUUGGACGGUGGCCACUAUGCAUGAUGGGUUCAUCACUUCAUGUGCUUCCCUUCUUACCCUGACACACCCAUCACUCAGGAACAGGUGUCCCAACUUUUUUGGAAUUGGGGUUGUACACUGUGGGUGUGAAAUGGAUGGUUACUUUGAAAAGGCACAUAUUGUUUAAGAAUACAAAAAGUGAAAGAUGUCAAGUCCUGUCCACCUGAGCAUCAUCUUUGGCGGAGAUGAUGCCAGAAAACUUAGCCUGAUGUCAGGGAUACCAGUGUCUGUGGAUCAACUUGUCCACGAGAUAAAGACUGCUUUUGGACUUGUGCAGCAGUUCAGGCUCCAGUAUAAAGAUGCAGAUUUUGGAAAUGAAUAUAUCAAUCUUACAUCAACCAGUGAAAUAAGAGACAGGGAUACUCUGAAAGUGGUAUUUCUUGCAUGUGAAGAAACUAGCUCCAGCAUUCCAGGGACUCUACCACCUUGCAGCACCAGCACCCCACUGACUUCUCCCACUACAUCCUACAGCUCUGGGAACUCACACAGGUCUCCAUCCUUGCACGAGGACGUUUUUUCUUCUGAUUACUCAUUUAGCAGCACAGACACUAUCAUUAUAGAUCCAGCUCCAGAGUCAAGAACCUCUUCGUGGCCUCCAGUCUUCAUUGUUCCCAACUGUUCAUAUUUUGCUGAAAUUCAACUUCAAAGAGCAAAUGCAGAAUUCAGAGCAAACGGCAUGCCUCUUACCCCUCCCUCAAAGCUAAGAAUGGAUAUUCUUGAAGGCAUGGCCGAACAGAUCUUCAGAUACACAGCAUAUCCGAGUGACUCCCAAAUUGAAGAGGCUGCUGAGGUCUUGGUGCAUGUCCAUCCAUGUUUAAGGGAAAGAGGAACUCGUGCUGGCCAUGAAGGAUGGAAACAGUAUCUAAAGACAAAGUUGCCAAUUUUCGCACUAAACUGUGCAAAAUUGGACACCCAGAAGUCAAUGUAAACUCUCUCAAGAACAAGCGCAAAGGACAAGAAAAAGCUGCAAACAUCAAAAAACCAAGAAAAGCAGAGGUUAACUUUCUUCGAUCUCUCCCUUGUGGUGAAACAAGAGAGAGUCUUGAGAAUGAAAGAGUAGCUCUCUUGACAGAGGUGAAAAAGAGACACAACGAGGCUGUGGUCAAGGAGAAAAUGCAGAAGACCUUCUCCUACAGACGUCAGGAGGUUGUCCAGGACUCACCUUUAGUCUCUGAAUUUGUGAACAGAUGGCCUUCCUUGUUCACAGUGAGUGAGCAUUUUUUUUCUCUCUUAUAGAUAAAUGCGGAAUUCAUGCGCAUAACAACUUCACCACUUCAAGCCAAGUUUUUGGCAGAACUUGACAAAUACACACCUAACUUGAUGAAGCUCUUCAGCAGUAGAGGAGGAGCUGCUGGAAGUAAGAUUAGGCUCAUCAUGGCUCCAACA